GAAGGAGGCGGAGGCGACUCAACAUGGCAGCGCCUCAGCGGCCGCGCUUCCGCUAACCCUCGGGCCGUACCAUCGCCGCCGUCGGGGGUGGUCGUGUGCUGGCCUUUUUCUCGAAGUCGUUUCUCACCACAUAAUUAAGCUCAACUUUACCAGCGCUGAUACAGCAGUCCAGAAAUACAGACAAGAAAAUUUACCUGGUCCACAGAGAGAGAGAAAAACCCUGUAACGAUUUCCAGCAAUAAGGAAAUAAAAACAAUAUCACCA